rnacentral:rRNA from 1 species
AACUAACGCUGGCGGCGUGCCUAACACAUGCAAGUCGUACGAGAAAGUUGGCUUCGGCUGAUGAGUAAAGUGGCGCACGGGUGAGUAACGCGUGGAUAAUCUGCCUUUUAGUUGGGAAUAACGUACCGAAAGGUGCGCUAAUACCGGAUAAUACUGCAUAACUACUGUUGUGUAGUCAAAGAAGGCCUCUGUUUACAAGCUUUUGCUGAAAGAUGAGUCCGCGUACCAUUAGCUAGUUGGUAGGGUAAUGGCCUACCAAGGCUACGAUGGUUAGCUGGUCUGAGAGGAUGAUCAGCCACACUGGAACUGAGACACGGUCCAGACUCCUACGGGAGGCAGCAGUGGGGAAUAUUGCGCAAUGGGGGCAACCCUGACGCAGCAACGCCGCGUGAGUGAGGAAGUUUUCGGACCGUAAAGCUCUGUCGAGCGGGAAGAAAUGUAUCGUGGCUAAUAUCCAUGAUAUUUGACGGUACCGCUAAAGGAAGCACCGGCUAA